rnacentral:rRNA from 1 species
AGCGAACGCUGGCGGCAGGCCUAACACAUGCAAGUCGAACGAACCUUUCGGGGUUAGUGGCGGACGGGUGAGUAACACGUGGGAACGUGCCUUUAGGUUCGGAAUAACUCAGGGAAACUUGUGCUAAUACCGAAUGUGCCCUUCGGGGGAAAGAUUUAUCGCCUUUAGAGCGGCCCGCGUCUGAUUAGCUAGUUGGUUGAGGUAAUGGCCCACCAAGGCGACGAUCAGUAGCUGGUCUGAGAGGAUGAUCAGCCACAUUGGGACUGAGACACGGCCCAAACUCCUACGGGAGGCAGCAGUGGGGAAUCUUGCGCAAUGGGCGAAAGCCUGACGCAGCCAUGCCGCGUGAAUGAUGAAGGUCUUAGGAUUGUAAAAUUCUUUCGCCGGGGACGAUAAUGACGGUACCCGGAGAAGAAGCCCCGGCUAACUUCGUG